UCCCUGGUAGUAUAUCGGUUAGUACACGCGCCUGUCAUGUGCGUCGGGUAGAACGUUCGCGCGAAAGCUGGGUUCGACUCCCAGCCAGGGAG
rnacentral:tRNA from 1 species